GUUGAGAACCAUCAGAAGUAGAUGGACAGAGGACUCAGGAAGUGGAAACAUCUGGUUGACUUUCUUGCUCUGAAAAUACCAUCAAGAUGUCUCAGUCCAUUGAGGAGAAAAGUAUUAUACUCUUCUGAGCAACAAGUGCCUUUUGCUGAACAGAGGGUCUUUUCUUCAUUCCAAGUUCAUAGGACAAUAAAGCUACAAAGAACAAUCUGGAUUUCUUUGUGAAAGCAAUGCAAGAUACAGAGGAAAGAAUUUACAGCGAUUUUACACUC